ACCGAAAUGGGCGUUCGCGCGCAGUAUGUGACUCGGUACUUCGGAUGAGAAAUCCCCGGGCUCAGCCUGGGAACUGCUUCCCAAACUGGCGAGCUAUAUUAAGGCAGACGGUGGGGUAAUUUCCUGUGUACCGUUGAAAUGCCUAGAUAUCGAAUUGAACACCGCUGGCCAAAGCAACCACCUGGUCUCAUACUGACACUGACGUGCCAAAUUGUGGGCAGCAAACAGGAUUACAUACCCUGGUAGCCACGCCGUAGACGAUGUGGACUUGACGAUGGAAUCCUUGACAUUUUAUCGGCCCGGCUGACGCAUUAAGUUGACCGCCUGGGGAGUACGGCCGCAAGGGUAAAACUCAGAUGAAUUGUCCGCGGCCCGCACAACCUGUGGAGCAUGUGGUUUAAUUCAAAUGACCACGAACAACCUUACCCUGCCUUGACGUCCAAUAAACUUUCCAUACAUCUAUGGGAGCCUUCGGGAACAUUGAGACCGGGGCUGCAUGGUUGUCGUCCUCUCGUGUCGUGAGAUGCUGGGUUAAUUCCCGUAACGAGCCGUCCCCUUGUCCUUAUUUACCCUUGCGUUAUGGUGGGCACUCUAAGGAGACUGCCGGUGACAAACCGGAGGAAAGUGCUGAUGACGUCCAAUCGUCAUGUGACUUACUGUCUGGGCUGCACUACUGCUACAAUGGUCCGUGUUUGCGCCCCCCGAUUUGCCACGUCGAGGUCAUCUCGCAAAACCGAGCGUACUCUUCGAUCGUGGUCUGCAACUCCUAUAGCUUGAAGUUUGAACCCCUCGUAAUCGAUUAUCACACUGUCUGGCCUAAUCUAGUCCCGCACCUUGGGAUGCCCGUCCCUCGCACCACGCCGAGUGAUUUCGCAUCCGACGUAACUAAUCUAACCAUUCGGGGAGGUCCGUUCACACAGUGCUGAUUCAUG
rnacentral:rRNA from 1 species